AUUGAACGCUGGCGGCAUGCCUUACACAUGCAAGUCGAACGGUAACGCGGGGCAACCUGGCGACGAGUGGCGAACGGGUGAGUAAUGUAUCGGAACGCGCCCAGUUGUGGGGGAUAACUGCUCGAAAGAGCAGCUAAUACCGCAUACGACCUGAGGGUGAAAGCGGGGGAUCGCAAGACCUCGCGCAAUUGGAGCGGCCGAUAUCAGAUUAGGUAGUUGGUGAGGUAAAGGCUCACCAAGCCGACGAUCUGUAGCUGAUCGGAGAGGACGACCAGCCACACUGGGACUGAGACACGGCCCAGACUCCUACGGGAGGCAGCAGUGGGGAAUUGUUCGCAAUGGGCGCAAGCCUGACGACGCAACGCCGCGUGGAGGACGAAGACCUUCGGGUCGUAAACUCCUUUCGAUCGAGACGAACGGCCUCCGGGUGAACAAUCCGGGGGAGUGACGGUACCGAGAGAAGAAGCCCCGGCUAACUCCGUGCCAGCCGCCGCGGUAACAC
rnacentral:rRNA from 1 species